rnacentral:tRNA from 1 species
GGCGCCGUGGGAGGGGUCCGGCCCCGCCGCGGACGGUGCGGGCCCGGCGUGCGCCGGUCCGCCGGCGUUCCGCCCGUCGGUGGCGGCG